rnacentral:snRNA from 1 species
AGCUUUGCGCAGUGGCAGUAUCGUAGCCAAUGAGGUUUAUCCGAGGCGCGAUUAUUGCUAUUUACCUCUCUCUCCUAUCAAAUUGGCAGCCUUGUAUGAAAUUAAAUUGGCUGCCUUCUUCCACUGAGAACAUGAGACAAGUGAGUAUUUGCAGGCAGGAUACUCCUUGCAAAAUUAAUUUGGGCAUUGUAUAUAUAU